rnacentral:rRNA from 1 species
UACAGAGGGUGCGAGCGUUGUCCGGAAUCACUGGGCGUAAAGGGCGCGUAGGUGGCGAGCCAAGUCCAUGGUGAAAGCUCGAUGCUCAACAUCGAGUCGGCCACGGAUACUGGUGCGCUUGAGCACUGUAGAGGCUAAGUGGAAUUCCGGGUGUAGCGGUGGAAUGCGUAGAGAGUCCGGAAGAACACCGGUGGCGAAGGCGGUAGC